GGAUCUGGUAUCGGAGUGAAAUGAGGAUCUAGUAUUAGAGUGAAAUUAGAGUAGAAAAUCAAAAAAUAUUGACUAAUCAAAUGUAUACUUCUGUUUAUAUGAUUUACAAAAUAUGUCUCUCCCCCCUUUUUGGCAUUAUUAAUCUAGAUAAGCAUAAAAAUACUUCAUGGAUCAAAGUAUGAGGUAUCUGCUACUCAAUACAAGAUCAUU
rnacentral:lncRNA from 1 species